GAGCCUGGCUCGCCGCGCCGUAGGGCGGGUCCCAGGGUGCAGCCCGCGGGAGGGCUCGGCUCGCUCGGCUCGGCUCGGCUCGGCGGGCGGUGAGUGGGGGCGCCGGGGAGAGGCCGAGGCAGGAAAUCGCCGCCUGGAGGAAGCGGUGGCAGGGCCGGGGGGGCUCGGAGCCGAAACGCGGCUGGGACCGGAGAGACCCCCCCCGCCCCCGCCUGCUCUGGAGCAGCGCGGGGGGGGGUCUGUGCCCCUGAGCCCAGCAGGGCCCCCCCAGCCGAGCCCGCCCUGGGGCAGCAGUCGCGGGGGGGGGGUUUCUAGAUCAGCUGUGCGGGGUUUCCCCCCUGUCCCGAAGGUGAGAACACCGAAGGGAAUCCCCGUCAGGCCGGGCCUUGGAGACCGGAGCCGCACAGCCCCUCGCGGGGAGACCCCAAAGCCCUGAGCAGGGAGAGCCACCGGCCUGGCGCAGCGCGGGGCCGGUUGGACAACAGAGAGACCCGCCCCCAUCCCAGAGCAGAGACAUGGAAGAAAAUCCCCAUAAAUGUUCUGACUGCAGGAAAAGCUUCAAGCAGAGCUCGACCCUGAGGAGGCACCAGCGAACCCACACGGGGGAGCGACCCUACAAAUGCCUCCAGUGCGGGAAGAGCUUUGCCGACAGCUCCAACCUCCUUCGCCAUCAGAGGAGCCACACCGGGGAGCGACCCUACACGUGUGCCCAGUGUGGGAAGAGCUUUGGGCACAGCGCGACCCUGAUCAAGCACUCCAGGACCCACACGGGCGAGAGGCCCUACAGGUGUGAUGAGUGCGGGAAGAGCUUCUCGGAGAGCUCCAAGCUCCUAGAGCACGAGAGGAUCCACACAGGCUUGAAACCCUACAAAUGCCCUAUCUGUGGGAAAGUGUUCUGCCACAGCUCCUCGCUGACCAAUCAUCAGCGGGUCCACACAGGUGAGAGACCUUAUAAAUGCCCCGAGUGCGAGAAGACUUUUGGACGCCGCUCUAUGCUCAUUCGACACAGCCGGAUCCACACAGGGGAACGACCUUACAAAUGCCUCCAGUGCGGGAAGGCCUUUGCCGUUCUCUCAGUCCUGAUCCAGCAUGAGCGGAUCCACACGGGGGAGAAACCCCACAAAUGCGCCCACUGUGAGAAAUGUUUCAGCGAUCCCUCCGUCCUGACCCGGCAUGAGCGCAUCCACACAGGCGAGCGACCCUACAAGUGUGUCCAUUGCGGGAAGGGCUUUAGUCAGAGCUCUACCCAUGCUCAGCAUCUGAGAACCCACACCGGAGAGCGGCCCUAUAGAUGUGAUGAGUGUGGGAAGAGCUUCAGUGUUAGUUCAAGCCUUGUUAUCCACCAGAGGAUCCACACAGGAGAGAGACCCUAUAAAUGUCCCCACUGUGGGAAGAGCUUUAGUGGCUGGCCAAAUUUUAGCAGGCAUCUGAGGACUCACGCCCAGGAGUAAACCCAACAGGUGACUCAAUUCUGCGAGAUGCUACUGUGAUCACUCUGGGCUCUUUAGACAGAGAACCCAUGCAUUGGAGAGAUGCAAAAAUGCCCCCACUGCAGAUAGAGCUUCUGCCUCAGCUUGGAGCUUCAUAGGUACCAGAGAAUCCACAUGGUGGGCAACCCUAUAAACGCCCCAACUGAUGGAAGAGCUUUAGUCCCAGGAUGUACCUUAUUAUUCAUCAAAGGAUCCACAGCAGAGACAGGCCUGAGAAAUAGAUAUGGAGGUAAGCGUCAUUCAGAGCUCAGAACAGGACUUCUGCUGUGACCUCCGAGUGGGGCCUCCGACUGGGCAGAUAGGAAAGAUCAAACACACACAUGAGGGACUUCCCUUCACUAUUCCUUGUAAAUCCAGCUAUUCUUUACAGCUGGGAUUUUGGCUACCUAACUCCCUGAGAGUCCUUUGAAAAUCCCAGCAAGCGUUAUCACCUCUAAGAAACAGCAGGUGGGAAAUUCAAAAAUAAUCCUCAGGAGAAAUUAUUCCCUCAUGAAACAGGAUCUGUUAUCUGUAAAGUGUGUUUUUUAGGGUUAUUGCAUCACAGUACAUGAGCACACGCACACACACACACACCAUUCAGAUGUUGCAACCAGCACAAUGGAUCUCACCUCAGUGAAGCAGCCAGAAUUUGUUUUCAAAACCCUGCUACUUGCUUCGUGACUCAACUACCUCCAAGGUUCUUCUGUACCUCGAGAUCACGUACCUUAACUUUGUGUUUCCUGGUUUUCAGAGGUUUAGGUUCAACCAUUCUGAAAGGGGGCAGGGCACCAGUGGGCAACUUUAACUCUGCAUUAAUCAAGUUGUGGGGCAAUAUAAUAAGGGAUGGGCAUAUAGGUCCCUUCUUGAGGCCCAUGAGGGUGCAGGGAUAGGCACUAAGUCACCCUCUCUGAACCACUUCCUACCUCCCUUUUCCUGCUCCAGGAUGCAUGAUUUGCUCAUAAGCACCAGUUUGCAGGUUGCCUACCCACCUCCAACUCAUACAGGCUGCCGCACCUUUUCCCAGCCAGGGCCUGGCUGCAUCCUGUCCUGGAGGAGGUCCUUCUCCCUGCCCUGUCCAGCCCGCAUUAAGCCGCUUGCUCCUUUUAAACCCCGCCUCCAAUUGGAGCAUGCUCAGCAAGGGUGGAGGGGCGGGGCCUCCUGAGUCUGGAGCUGCUCUUGAAUCCUCUGCUGUCCAGUGAGGGAUUUAUACA